UACGUAGGGGGGCUAGCGUUGUCCGGAAUCAUUGGGCGUAAAGCGCGUGUAGGCGGCCCGAUAAGUCCGCUGUGAAAGUCCAGGGCUCAACCCUGGAAUGCCGGUGGAUACUGUCGGGCUCGAGUCCGGAAGAGGCGAGUGGAAUUCCUGGUGUAGCGGUGAAAUGCGCAGAUAUCAGGAGGAACACCGAUGGCGAAGGCAGCUCGCUGGGACGGUACUGACGCUGAGACGCGAAAAGCGUGGGGAGCGAACAGG
rnacentral:rRNA from 1 species